rnacentral:rRNA from 1 species
AUGCAACUCUACUAUCUUGAUUUUGUUGACCAGCCCAAUUUUUGCUACCACCGCUUUCAAUUUUUGAUAGAACUAGCAUUUUUUUGCUACCACUGUUUUUUGUUUUUGCUGGAACCAGCCCCAAUUUUGCUUCCACCGGCUUCGAGUUUUGCUGGAACCAGCCUCAAUUUUGCUUCCACCGGCUUCGAUUUUUGCUGGAACCAGUCCCAAUUUUGCUUUCACCAGCUUCGAUUUUUGCUGGAACCAACCCCAAUUUUGCUUCCACCGGCUUCGAUUUUUGCUGGAACCAGCCCCAAUUUUGCUUUCACCAGCUUCGAUUUUUGCUGGAACCAACCCCAAUUUUGCUUCCACCGGCUUCGAUUUUUGCUGGAACCAGCCCCAAUUUUGCUUCCACCGGCUUCGAUUUUUGCUGGAACCAGCCCCAAUUUUGCUUCCACCGCCUUCGAUUUUUGCUGGAACCAGCAAUCCUUUGUUUUUUCUACCAUCGGCUUUGUAUGCAAGCGAUGCCGCCGUCACCAUUGA